CGAGAGCUUGGACUGAACUGUGAUGUAAAAAGAGCUGGUUUUGUUGUUUGCCUGCUGUUCUUUUGCUUCUCCAGCCUCGGGUGCCUACUCACAUGUACUAAUGGGUUUUGGGGACGAGCCCCGUGGUUGCUUUGGGGCUCUCCUGUUUGAUGCUGUGAGGUUUCCGUGCCCACGGGGUGGGUUUUUGGUGUGGGAAAGCGGAGCUGAUGUUCUGACUUUGUGAGCUGACUCACCCGGGGUGCUGUCUGUAAUUGGGGUGCAGCGUGGCGCAGCUCAGGCAGAGCUGUGUGUGCUUAUGGGCUGCCAGCACGAGCGCCUAAAUGAAUCUGUUGUCAAUGGGAGCACUUCUAGGUAUCACCAACGAGGUUUCCGACCUUGCUGACGUGGGGAGAGUCCUGAGCUGAGGUUUUCUUCCAGCAGUUGGUGUUUGUGAUUGAAAUUCAUGUUUUGGAAGCACGUGUGUGUUUGCAUAUCCGGAUGGGCUGUGAGCUGUGUUGUGCUGGGACCCGAAGCGUUGCACACCUCUGGCUGUGCCCAUCCGCCUGCGCUGCUGCUGCUGGUUGUGGUGCUUUGCACGUUGUGUGUUUGGAGGCUCUAUGGGGCAGCUCUGCAAUGUGACGUUGGUUGCUUGUAGAGGGGAUGCUGCAGCUGCCGGGUGGACCCCGGCUUUCGUUAAUUGCUCUGUGUGCACCGUGCUAAUUUGGCUAAUGAGACUUCAGGCAGGCGAUCAGGGGAAAGUGGAUUUGUAAAGAGAACCACUGAAUGAAGUGCACUGCAGCAGGGAGCCAUGCGAGCGGAUCAGACCGGGCAGCAGCUCCGUGCAUUCACACCUCUCUCUCUCUCCCCCAAAUUGUGCUUUUCCCAGCCGCAGCCAAAUUAAUCACUUUCAAACAUCAGAUGGCCCAGCUCCUGCUCUGGGCUGAUAACGAGCUCGCUCUGCACUGAAAUGGCAAAUGCUCUCUGAGGAUACGCUCUCACCACGGGUCUGCCCUCGCAGAAGGGAAAGGAGUGGGAAGCGUUGUGGCUCUGGGUUGGCUGCAGGGCUCUGCUUACCCACAGCUGCUUUGGGGACUGGGAGAUGGGGCUGUGCAGGGUGAGGUGGAAGAAACCCCUCUCCUGUUCUGCAAAUCCUCCUCCGACGUGGCGUGAAUUGCAGUAGGGCUGUGUGGGUGCUGAGCUGAGCUCCAGGUCAAUUGUGGGUGAUGGAUAUUUGGUCCUCUCGUUUCCCUGCCUUGACCUUCACACCUCGCUCUGCAAUCGGAUCUGAAGAUCAGCCCGUAGCUUUUCAGCUGGCUCCAGUAUUUCCUGUCCCCAGGCACAGGGAAGGAUCGGUCAGCAAUGCAUCCUGCCCCGUGCUGGCACCUUUCCCUGCAGCGCAAUGGGGACGGUGGGGAGCAGCUCCUCCUGCAUGGCACUGCUGUGUUCUGAGCCUGCAGAACUACGAGCCCUGGGGCACAGGCAGGGAGCUGCUGAUCCCGUGGCUGUGCUGUGCUGCCCCACUGCCGUGUGUGGCCGCUGCCUGUAGCACUUGGGCUCAUCCCUGGUGCUGCUCCUCUCCCCGCUCCCUAUCUCUCUCCCUAAGGCACUAAAAGCAGUGCAGACACGUUCCCAGCUGUCACAGGGCUGGUGACAAAUACCUUUGCUCUUCCUCAUGGCCUUUGCUUCCUCCUCUGGGGUUUCCUUCCCCUGCUCGACUGAGGGCUCAGGAUGGGUCCCUGCGGAGUGCUGGGUGUGCGGGCACCUCCCGGCCCUAUCAUCUCACCCACGUGAGAGAUAUGGACAGGGGAGGGAGCUCAGAAGCUCGGGAGGCAAAGUCUGCAUCUCUCCAGAGUGGGGACUUUGGUCCAUUAAUUACUUCCCCAAUUGCUGGUGGGCAUGGAUGGCAGCUGAUGAAUUCCCAUCGCCCUCAGUGAAAGCAGCUCUCCUAAACUUACAGGCAGCUUUCCCAGGCAUGAGAGAGGAAUUGAAGCAGCGGGAGGCUUGCGAGAGGUCUGAGUGGAGAGGAGUGGAUCUGCAGAGGUGAUCCUGAGCCGCAGUGAGGAAGUCUUAGAGCUGUGUGUCAGGACAGCGUGGGGCUCCUGACCUUUUUGGAUGGAUGCGAGGAGGCGAUCGGGGCACAAGAAAGGUCUGUGCUGGCAGACGUCUGGCUGUGGCUGCAACCAAAGCUGCUCCUUCCCGAGCUGCCCUGCAGGAUGGCUUCACUCUGCAUGGGAACGUUGGCUUUCUGCAGCUUCCACCUCUGGGCCAGAGGCUCCAAGAAGA